rnacentral:rRNA from 1 species
UACGUAGGGUGCGAGCGUUAAUCGGAAUUACUGGGCGUAAAGCGUGCGCAGGCGGUGAUGUAAGACCGAUGUGAAAUCCCCGGGCUUAACCUGGGAACUGCAUUGGUGACUGCAUUGCUGGAGUAUGGCAGAGGGGGGGUAGAAUUCCACGUGUAGCAGUGAAAUGCGUAGAGAUGUGGAGGAACACCGAUGGCGAAGGCAGCCCCCUGGGUCAAGAUUGACGCUCAUGCACGAAAGCGUGGGGAGCAAACAGG